GCUGUCAAAGAGCAUACUGCCUAUGUUUUCUUGUAGGCGUUGCAUGGUUUCGGGUGUGACAUUGAAGUCAAACCCGAGGAGGCUGCAGUUCCCCGAGAGCGAGCGUAGCGGGGACCCUGCGUCCCUGUCAGCG